rnacentral:rRNA from 1 species
GUCGAACGGAGUUCCGUCGGGGACUUAGUGGCGGACGGGUGAGUAACACGUGAGAACCUACCCUUAGGAUGGGGACAACAGUUGGAAACGACUGCUAAUACCCGAUGUGCCGGAAGGUGAAAGAUUUAUCGCCUAGGGAAGGGCUCGCGGCUGAUUAGCUAGUUGGUAAGGUAAAGGCUUACCAAGGCGACGAUCAGUAGCUGGUCUGAGAGGAUGAGCAGCCACACUGGGACUGAGACACGGCCCAGACUCCUACGGGAGGCAGCAGUGGGGAAUUUUCCGCAAUGGGCGAAAGCCUGACGGAGCAAUACCGCGUGUGGGAGGAAGGCUCUUGGGUUGUAAACCACUUUUCUCAGGGAAGAAUAGAUGACGGUACCUGAGGAAUAAGCAUCGGCUAACUCCGUGCCAGCAGCCGCGGUAAUACGGAGGAUGCAAGCGUUAUCCGGAAUCAUUGGGCGUAAAGCGUCCGCAGGUGGCCUAUCAAGUCUGCUGUCAAAGCGCAGAGCUCAACUCUGUAAAGGCAGUGGAAACUGAUAAGCUAGAGUUCGGUAGGGGUAGCGGGAAUUCCCAGUGUAGCGGUGAAAUGCGUAGAUAUUGGGAAGAACAUCGGUGGCGAAGGCGCGCUACUGGGCCGAAACUGACACUGAGGGACGAAAGCUAGGGGAGCGAAAGGGAUUAGAUACCCCUGUAGUCCUAGCCGUAAACGAUGGAAACUAGGCGUGGCUUGUAUCGACCCGAGCCGUGCCGAAGCUAACGCGUUAAGUUUCCCGCCUGGGGAGUACGCACGCAAGUGUGAAACUCAAAGGAAUUGACGGGGGCCCGCACAAGCGGUGGAGUAUGUGGUUUAAUUCGAUGCAACGCGAAGAACCUUACCAAGGCUUGACAUGUCGCGAAUCCUGCCGAAAGGUGGGAGUGCCUUAGGGAGCGCGAACACAGGUGGUGCAUGGCUGUCGUCAGCUCGUGUCGUGAGAUGUUGGGUUAAGUCCCGCAACGAGCGCAACCCUCGUUUUUAGUUGCCAGCAUUAAGUUGGGCACUCUAGAGAGACUGCCGGUGACAAACCGGAGGAAGGUGGGGAUGACGUCAAGUCAGCAUGCCCCUUACGUCUUGGGCAACACACGUACUACAAUGGUCGGGACAAAGAGCAGCGACCUCGCGAGAGUAAGCGAAUCUCAUCAAACCCGGCCUCAGUUCAGAUUGCAGGCUGCAACUCGCCUGCAUGAAGGAGGAAUCGCUAGUAAUCGCAGGUCAGCAUACUGCGGUGAAUUCGUUCCCGGGCCUUGUACACACCGCCCGUCACACCAUGGAAGCUGGCCACACCCGAAGUCGUUACCCUAACCUUUCGAGGAGGGGGACGCCGAAGGUAGGGCUA